CCCACCUCUCGGGGUUUGCUCAUGGCAUCGAGGCCACAGCCCUGGCGUCAGGGGCUGCAGUCGCAGCCAGGCAGCCAAAGGCAGGCUGCGUGGACAGCCUUAGAGGGGAGGGGGGUGGCCAGGCCAGGGGACACAGCCCUGCAUCCUGUCCGGUCUCUGUCCAGCACUGAUGUCCGGGACAUCUGUGGGCUACCGUCCCCACCCCAGGUUCUAUUGGAUCAAGAGUUCGGCUGGCUUCCGGCCACCCCUCCUCCCAGGACUCCGACCUCCGAGCCCCCUUUGUCCUGCGCCUCAGUCUCCUGGGUUGACUUUGGAGCAGAGCCCUAGGCUCUGGAGGACCAAGCCAAGAGGCCCAGGAGCAGGAGGAGAGUGCAGGUCGGAUGCUCGGCUCCUUUGGCAGGGCGGCCACGGGUCCAGGCGGCAAGAAGCCCUGCUGGGACUCACUCGCCCAGGGCCCACGCAGCGUCCACUGGGCGCCGCCUUUGAUCCGCUCUGCUGGGCGGGGCUGCAGCCUCUGCGGUUACCCUGGAGACGGCGAGAGAGUCCUGCGUGUCCUCGACAGAGCGUGGCCCUCUCUCUGCCUCCGCUGCUGGAGAGGACGGUGCUCCAGGAGGUCAAGGGCUGCGGAGAGGCGAGCAGGACCCCCCUGGGCCCGCGGGCCCGCGCCCCGCUCCUGGGGACGCUGAUCCCUUUCGAAGCCAGAGGCCCCUGCGGUGGGGGGCUGUCUGCACCCCAGUUCUCCGCAGUCAGUCUGCCAAACCACCAGAUAAUCCGCCCCGGUUCCCAGAGCCAUCCUGCCCACGCAGGUGCUCAGGCCAGCCCCGCGGGUUCCUUGACACCCACUCCGGUCCAGACCGGGGCCUGCCCCUCUGUCCCGGAGGAGGUCCAAGGGCGCGGAAACCUGUGCUCCCCUGUUUCCUCACUGGGUGCAGGGCAAUGAAGGUGUGAGUCACAGCCCGCUCACCGUGGUGGUGGGUAUGCUGUAGGGCAGAGGAGCGCCGCCACCAGGAGGGAUGUCCAGAGGCCCGGGGAGGGGCCUGUGGCCCUGCACCCCUGCUCUGCCCUGUCUGCCAGGCCAGGGCCCGGGAGCAGCUGAGGCCCCGCACCACGGUGCCUCCCCUCCACGCUGGAGGACUCCUGGAAGCUCAGCUGUCCUCGGCGCCGCCAGUGGGGAGGGUGACUCAGGCCCAGGCUUCUCGGGGCUGCUGGGAUUCCCCAGGCCGAGAGGAAGUGGUCCAGGGCUGAGCGAGGCUGGGUCUCCCCACCCGGUUCUCACCGCCUGCCUGGUGCCGGGUCCUACGCUCUCCUGCCGUCCCUGCCUCCGUCCCUCUGUCUAGUCUUCCGUCCAGGGGAAGGGACAUUGCCACACACGUGUAUCUGCAGGAAUCCACAGAGCGAGGCAGCUUCAGGACAGAUGACAGGAGACCCUGCCUUCACCUCCAAGCCUGCCUUUUUCUUGGGCAGGGACAAAAAACACACACGAGUUGAGCGUCCCUUAUCCGAAAUGCCUAGGACCAAAAGUAUUUUUGGAUUUUUUUUUUGGCUUGUUGAAUAUUUACAUGUAGAUAAAGAGAUCUCUCUUUAAAGAGGUCUCUGGGAAGGGACUCAAAUAUAAAACCAAAAUUUAUAUAUAUGUAUAUACCUUAAACACAUAGGCUGAAGGUAAUUUUAUAAAAUAACUAUAACUUUGUGCUCAAACCUUUCAUGAUGUGGAAUUUUCUACUUGCAGCAUCCUGUCCCCAAAUAAUUUCUGAUGCUUUUGAGUUUCCAGAUUUGGGGUGCUCAACUUGGACUGACUAUGUGGGUUGGGUGGUUGCUGUGAUACGCAGAAAACAAUGCUGAGCAGAGGGGGAGGGGAUAGAGUCGCAGUUUAAACAGGUUUAACUGUCCCAAGAGCACUGGGCCGGCCCGGCCUGCCCGAGUGGGUGACUUCAACACAGGCCUGAAGAAUGCCCUUGCAGGAAGAGCCUUUUGGGGGCAGAGCCCACUGCCAUCAGCUCUGAAAACUGCAGCCACUCAGAGGAGAAGUGGCAUCCAGGUGAGUGGCCCGUGUCCGCCCAGCGGGGAGCAUGCACGUGUCCAGGACUGACCUUGCACCUGUUGGAUGGAUGCUAGGGGUCUCCUCGAGGCACCCACAGGAGGGUCCUGUGUGAGGCUGUCAGGGAGGGCACAGAAGGGCAUGGGACCAGGGGGCCCGAGAGGCAGGCUCAACUCCAGCUUUGCUGCCCUGGGCCUUUUGACCCUAGGGGAAGAUGUUUCCUGGGAGAGACCUGUCCCUGCUGCCUUGGAAAGGAGGAAGUUGGGAGGAGAGACCCUGCUGGAGACAGGGGGACAAAGCCAGGGCACUCGGGAUGAUGAGAUGCUGCGGACAUGGGGCUGGGCUGAGAAUCAGGCCAAGCUUUGCUAGUAUCAUGUGCUCCGGCUGCUGUUGAGGGCCAGAGCCCUGGGGACCCGGCAGGAAAGGCAGAUGAGAAGAAGGGCAGGCGGCACGAAGGCCUUGGGAAAUGAGUUGCGUGUCCUUUGCUUUGCUGUCCCUCUGCCACUCUGAGGAUGAUUCAAGCUGACAGUCGCACUCCCACGGUGUUGAGAACAGAUCUGUCGCCCUAUUGCUCCAGUUCUUGUAGAAUCUUUUUGACUUUGGACCAGUGUGGGGCAAGAUCUUCUGAUCAAGUCACCAGAGCCCUCGGAAAUAGCUGAGUAAAAUAAUCCCAGGCACAUCUGAAAAGAAGGGAGACUUGGUGAGGUCUUGCCCCUGCUCCACUGCAUGAGGAUACAGCACACAGCUGUUUCCAUGAACCAGGAGGAGAGAAACACGGAACCUGCCAUUACCUCAGUCCUGGACUUCCGGGCCUGCAGAAAUCAGAAGAAGACUGGUCUAGUGGAGGCUGCCAGUUCCUGUGACUCAGCAUCCCACACAGAACUCAAGCCAGGCCUGCCAGGAAGCCCCUUGUGACUACGUGAGCUCACCAGGAUAAAACAAGAGACUCUCUCCGUGUCAAGAUUUUUAAUUUAAUCACAUCUUCAAAGUUCCCCUUUCCAUAUAACAUAACAUAUUCACAGGCCUCAGAGAUUAGCACACAGCAUCUUUGGACGGUGAUUAUUUUGUUUACUACAGUGGGAAAUAAAAGAAAGAGUUAGUGUCUUCCAUAGCGAAAAUGAGGGAAGAAUGUUAAAUAAAAAUUCUCCUGAGUUUCAUAAUAGGAUAAUUGAAAAAAGACCCACACUUAAAUACUUUGCCCUGCAUUUUUAGGCAGAUAAGAGGAAAGAAGAGACAUGGGUCCUUGGCCAAGGAAUGAGAUCUGUAGUGUGGUGUGCUAAAGAAAUCCUUCUCAAGGAUCAAGGGGAAAUUAUAUUGACUUGAAAUGAUACAGCCAGCUGAACUAUUAGCUAUAUAAGGAAGCAAUUUGUUUAUGUAUAAGAAACAAUUUUGAAAGUUAACCUCCUAUGAACUUAUUCUAGAAAGUAUAAUUUGAGGGCCAGGGAUUUAGCUCAGUGGUUCUGUGACCUGCCUUGCAAGUGCAAGGUCCCGAGUUCCAUCCCCGGUA